rnacentral:rRNA from 1 species
AGUGAACGCUGGCGGUAGGCCUAACACAUGCAAGUCGAACGGCAGCACAGUAAGAGCUUGCUCUUACGGGUGGCGAGUGGCGGACGGGUGAGGAAUAUAUCGGAAUCUACUUUUUCGUGGGGGAUAACGAAGGGAAACUUACGCUAAUACCGCAUACGACCUACGGGUGAAAGCAGGGGAUCUUCGGACCUUGCGCGAUUGAAUGAGCCGAUGUCGGAUUAGCUAGUUGGCGGGGUAAAGGCCCACCAAGGCGACGAUCCGUAGCUGGUCUGAGAGGAUGGUCAGCCACACUGGAACUGAGACACGGUCCAGACUCCUACGGGUGGCACCAGGGGGGAAUAUUGGACAAUGGGCGCAAGCCUGAUCCAGCCAUACCGCGGGGGUGAAGAAGGCCUUCGGGUUGUAAAGCCCUUUUGUUGGGAAAGAAAAGCAGCAGGUUAAUACCCCGCUGUUCUGACGGUACCCAAAGAAUAAGCACCGGCUAACUUCGUG